rnacentral:rRNA from 1 species
AGCAGCCGCGGUAAUUCCAGCUCCAAUAGCGUAUAUUAAAGUUGUUGCAGUUAAAAAGCUCGUAGUUGAAUUUCGGGAUUGACACAUCGGUCGUGCCUUAAGGGGUAUGAACUGGUGUAGUCAAUUUCUCACCUUCUGGAGAACCGCGAUGCCCUUAAUUGGGUGUCACGGGGAACCAGGACCUUUACUUUGAAAAAAUUAGAGUGUUUAAAGCAGGCAUUUUGCUUGAAUACAUUAGCAUGGAAUAAUAAAAUAGGACGGCAUGAUUCUAUUUUUUUUGUUGGUUUAUAGGAUCACCGUAAUGAUUAAUAGGGAUAGUUGGGGGCAUUAGUAUUCAAUUGUCAGAGGUGAAAUUCUUGGAUUUAUUGAAGACUAACUACUGCGAAAGCAUUUGCCAAGGAUGUUUUCAUUAAUCAAGAACGAAAGUUAGGGGAUCGAAGACGAUCAGAUACCGUCGUAGUCUUAACCAUAAACUAUGCCGACUAGGAAUCAGACGAUGUUAAUUUUUUAAUGACUCGUUUGGCACCUUACG